rnacentral:rRNA from 1 species
GACGAACGCUGGCGGCGUGCUUAACACAUGCAAGUCGAACGGAAAGGCCCUGCUUUUGUGGGGUGCUCGAGUGGCGAACGGGUGAGUAACACGUGAGUAACCUGCCCUUGACUUUGGGAUAACUUCAGGAAACUUGGGCUAAUACCGGAUAGGAGCUCCUGCUGCAUGGUGGGGGUUGGAAAGUUUCGGCGGGUGGGGAUGGACUCGCGGCUUAUCAGCUUGUUGGUGGGGUAGUGGCUUACCAAGGCUUUGACGGGUAGCCGGCCUGAGAGGGUGACCGGCCACAUUGGGACUGAGAGACGGCCCAGACUCCUACGGGAGGCAGCAGUGGGGAAUAUUGCACAAUGGGCGGAAGCCUGAUGCAGCAACGCCGCGUGCGGGAUGACGGCCUUCGGGUUGUAAACCGCUUUCGCCUGUGACGAAGCGUGAGUGACGGUAAUGGGUAAAGAAGCACCGGCUAACUACGUG